rnacentral:rRNA from 1 species
UACGUAGGCAGCGAGCGUUGUUCGGAGUUACUGGGCGUAAAGGGUGCGUAGGCGGUUGUUUAAGUUUGGUGUGAAAUCUCCCGGCUCAACUGGGAGGGUGCGCCGAAUACUGAAUGACUAGAGUGCGGGAGAGGAUAGUGGAAUUCCUGGUGUAGCGGUGAAAUGCGUAGAUAUCAGGAGGAACACCGGUGGUGUAGACGGCUAUCUGGACCGUAACUGACGCUGAAGGCACGAAAGCGUGGGUAGCAACAGG